AGAGUUAAACAGUACGUGAAAUUGUUGAAAGGGAAACGAUUGAAGUCAGUCAUGCUAGUAAGGAAUCAACUUGGUGGUUUACUUCCUUGUGUAUUUUCUUGCUCGGCAGGUUAGCAUCAAUUUUGGUUGUCAUCAAAUAAUUGAGGGAAUGUGGCUUUUCUUCGGAAAAGUGUUAUAGACCUUGAUAGAUGUGGCGACUGGGAUUGAGGUUUGCAGCGGAUGCCUUUGGCUAGUCACCUAUCUUCUGACCGUCACCUCGCUUUUGACAGCUUGCUGAUGAUAGCGGGAUUUGGUGGCCUAGAAGUUAGAAUGUACAUAAAUUCGCUAAGGAUGCUGACGUAAUGGCUUUAAACGA
rnacentral:misc_RNA from 1 species